rnacentral:tRNA from 1 species
GUUCCUGUAGUGUAGUGGUUAUCAUGUUUGCUUUACACUCAAAAGGUCUUUGGUUCAAAACCAGACAGAAACU